CCGCCGCAGCUGCGAUAAAGAGACCCUCCGAGCUCCGGCGGCGGCGCUCCUCAGGGCCUGGGCAAGUAUUCCAGCCGUUGAUCCGAUCCAAUUCUUCUGAGCGCGUCAGUACGCGGUCGUGCGCGCAUCGGCAUUUAUGGCGGUGGAGCGCGUGCGGAGGCGCCGGCGGGGACGGCGAGCGGCAAAGGUGGAUGUGGGUGCGCCGCGCCGUCGCCGGAUCCCGCUACCAUCCAGCUUCUAUCCAAUCCUUCCCGUCUGAUCGGUGUAUAAGCUUGCAGCGACGACCGAGCUCUGCGUGCAGGCAUGGCUCGGAGAGCACGCGGCCCACCACAAGCUCGAUGGAAUGCCUGACACAAUGCUCUUCAUGUAAGAGUUAUGCGUGAAUCUAUUUCAGUGCACAAAAUUGCAAGCUGCCGAAUUUACUGCUUCAAUUUCAAACCGUUUCCUCACAUCAGCUGCAGUCCAGCAGAUUGCAAUGCAUUACUGUCUGAACCUACGGGCUAGUCUCAAUGUGUAUGGUCAUCGUGCGUAUUUGUCGUAUAUAUGUAGUUGAUAUAUAAACCGUGGCGAGCAAAUUUCAUACUCAGCCUUACCAUUCUGCAGCAUUCCUGAUUGUCUUCAUGUUGCUCUCGUUUCUAUUAAACUGAAUGUGGUACCUUUUCUGGAUCGUAGCCAGUAGAGAGUACUUUAUGAAUCUGGAGAGUUCAGAGUUCUCAUUCUCCAGUAAUUUUGAUGGCGUGUCAUACGAUAAUUGUUGCUGCUUAUCAUGAGAGAAUACAGAGUUAAGUAAUGCAACAGAUUGGCCUAGAAACAUGUAGAGGAUUCUUAUUUGUCAAGGAUAUACUUUGCCUUUUUUUUUGUCUUGGCUUACCUUCACUGAAGCAGGAAACUCUAUAUGGAUGGUUUCUCGGAUUGCACAAGUACUCAGGUGAAGACUCAACUGAAGAAGUUGCCUCAUCGAGUUGGGGAAAAUUGUUUUGCUUUAGCAGAACCCUUCCAAGGCCAAACAACUGCCUUUCUCCCACGCUCCAACGUUCCCCGUUCUCGACAACUGCAAGAGCUUCUUUGGGUUUUGCCUAAUUACAUCACCGAGCUGGCAUUUGUCCAAAAUCUGCCCAAAAGAAGGAAAAAAGAAAAAAUUCCUGAUCAGAUGCUGGAAGAAGUAAGAGACUCUUUCCCUAACCGUCACCCCAUUUGGUAAGUUUCCAAUUCCUGUUCUGUUCUCUAUUCACAGAUUUGUGUAGAUUGUGAACUUCGAUCAUGCUGCUCUUGCUGUUUCUACGAAAAAUUGCCUCAGGUUUAAGAUCAUACGAGAAGUCUCAGGCAUUGCUUUACACCUGUACUUUUGGUGCCACGUGGACUCCUGAUAGAUGAGCACAAAUGCACAAUCACUGGCAUGAAAAUUUCUCAGUACAUAUUGUUAUCCAAAUUUGUUUGCGGAAGUUACUGUGAUCCCUAGCUUUUUGUAAUAUGGAAUACAUAGCUUUAGCUUGGCACAUUCACAAGAAUGCCAACGAGUAUGAUAUUCAUCUGGCAAAUGUGGCAAGAUGAUCCGGAAGGAAUAUUUUGACCUGAACGCUUGUGCAUGGUUGCACAUCCUGCAUCUGACAAGACUACAGUAAAUAUGCCUUCAUGGUUUCUAGCCAAGGGAAAGGUCUCCCAAAAAAAGGAGGGGAAUUAUUUCUCAAAAUUGUGCACAUGGUGAAGAUAAGUUGGACUAUGUAACCGAGAUGCUGGCCUGCUUGUCUUCUGCGGAAAUCCAAAUCCAUCAUACCAACAUGCUCGUGCUCCGGUCGCGGAUUGAUCCUAAUAUCCACGCGGCACGCACACUUCAGCUGUCUCAUGUACAUUGUCGAGCCUUGCAUACUCUCUAUGCCUCCUUUGAAAUGGAUUACAUGUUGUCUCU